AGUCGAUGGGAAACAGGUUAAUAUUCCUGUACUUGGUGUUACUGCGAAGGGGGGACGGAGAAGGCUAUGUUGGCCGGGCGACGGUUGUCCCGGUUUAAGCGUGUAGGCUGGUUUUCCAGGCAAAUCCGGAAAAUCAAGGCUGAGGCGUGAUGACGAGGCACUACGGUGCUGAAGCAACAAAUGCCCUGCUUCCAGGAAAAGCCUCUAAGCAUCAGGUAACAUCAAAUCGUACCCCAAACCGACACAGGUGGUCAGGUAGAGAAUACCAAGGCGCUUGAGAGAACUCGGGUGAAGGAACUAGGCAAAAUGGUGCCGUAACUUCGGGAGAAGGCACGCUGAUAUGUAGGUGAAGUCCCUCGCGGAUGGAGCUGAAAUCAGUCGAAGAUACCAGCUGGCUGCAACUGUUUAUUAAAAACACAGCACUGUGCAAACACGAAAGUGGACGUAUACGGUGUGACGCCUGCCCGGUGCCGGAAGGUUAAUUGAUGGGGUUAGCGCAAGCGAAGCUCUUGAUCGAAGCCCCGGUAAACGGCGGCCGUAACUAUAACGGUCCUAAGGUAGCGAAAUUCCUUGUCGGGUAAGUUCCGACCUGCACGAAUGGCGUAAUGAUGGCCAGGCUGUCUCCACCCGAGACUCAGUGAAAUUGAACUCGCUGUGAAGAUGCAGUGUACCCGCGGCAAGACGGAAAGACCCCGUGAACCUUUACUAUAGCUUGACACUGAACAUUGAGCCUUGAUGUGUAGGAUAGGUGGGAGGCUUUGAAGUGUGGACGCCAGUCUGCAUGGAGCCGACCUUGAAAUACCACCCUUUAAUGUUUGAUGUUCUAACGUAGACCCGUGAUCCGGGUUGCGGACAGUGUCUGGUGGGUAGUUUGACUGGGGCGGUCUCCUCCUAAAGAGUAACGGAGGAGCACGAAGGUUGGCUAAUCCUGGUCGGACAUCAGGAGGUUAGUGCAAUGGCAUAAGCCAGCUUGACUGCGAGCGUGACGGCGCGAGCAGGUGCGAAAGCAGGUCAUAGUGAUCCGGUGGUUCUGAAUGGAAGGGCCAUCGCUCAACGGAUAAAAGGUACUCCGGGGAUAACAGGCUGAUACCGCCCAAGAGUUCAUAUCGACGGCGGUGUUUGGCACCUCGAUGUCGGCUCAUCACAUCCUGGGGCUGAAGUAGGUCCCAAGGGUAUGGCUGUUCGCCAUUUAAAGUGGUACGCGAGCUGGGUUUAGAACGUCGUGAGACAGUUCGGUCCCUAUCUGCCGUGGGCGCUGGAGAACUGAGGGGGGCUGCUCCUAGUACGAGAGGACCGGAGUGGACGCAUCACUGGUGUUCGGGUUGUCAUGCCAAUGGCACUGCCCGGUAGCUAAAUGCGGAAGAGAUAAGUGCU
rnacentral:rRNA from 1 species